UUUGCAAGGGGGGUGAUAGCCCCUGUGGGGGCCAUUUGGCCCCUGUUGGGGGUCCAUACCCCUUGUGUGGGGGAUGAAACCCCUGUUGGGGGGCCAGAUCCCUUGUGAGAGGGCCAAAACCACUGUUGGGGGGGCCAUCGCCUUGUGGGAGUGCAACAAAACUCAGGAACCAGCUGCGGGAAGAAGAGGAUCCAGGCACACGUGUGUCCCGCCUGCACGUGUGCCCCCUUACUAACUCACUGACUGGAGGCAGAAGCAGCAGCAGCAGAGGAAUCAGCAGCGGGGGCAGCAACAGCUGAUCCCCCGAAGGACCAGGCACACAAGGAAGAAGCAGCCCAGGGAGUGCCCUCCACAGCAGAGUGGCAGACGGUAACAUCCAGAACUGGAGCUGCUCACAGCAAACUGGUACCAGUUCCUCCAGUCUGACUAGAGAAUAGGUCAAGAGAUCCAAGCGGACCCAGAGGAGGAGGCAUCGAGUGAUUGUCAUAGGAGACUCCAUCCUGAGAGUGAGCGGACGCUGAAGACGGCAUGAGAACUGCAUUACAGAGACCAACUGGCGGGUUCGGCAAUGGUGUCUCGAGGCAGGCUUCAACUUCCUGGACAAUGGCCCGCACAUCACGACGAGGGACAUGCUCAGUUGGGAUGGGCUUCACCUGUCCCCCAAAGGUUACGAAACGCCUGGACACAGGAAGAGGGGUGGAUGUCGUAUACUUAGACUUCAGGAAGGCCUUCAAUACGGUAUCCCACCCCAUACUGGUGAACAAGUUAAGAGGCUGUGACUUGGACGACUACACAGUCCGGUGGGUGGCGAAUUGGCUAGAGGGUCGCACCCAGAGAGUCGUAGUGGAUCUUUCGGUUUCGAACCUGGAAGGGUGUGGGCAGUGGAGUCCCGCAGGGCUCGGUCCUUGGACCGAUACUCUUCAAUGUCUUCAUCAGUGACUUGGAUGAGGGACUGAAGUGUACUCUGUCCAAGUUUGUGGAUGACACAAAGCUGUGGGGAGAAGUGGACACGCCAGAGGGGAGGCAACAGCUACAAGCAGACCUGGACAGGUUGGGAAAUGGGCAGAAAACAGAAUGCAGUUCAACAAGGAGAAAUGCAAAGUGCUGCACCUAGGGAGGAGAAAUGUCCAGCAUACCUACUGCCUAGGAAAUGACCUGCUUGGUGGCACGGAAGCGGAAAGGGAUCUUGGAGUCCUAGCGGACUCCAAGAUGAACAUGAGUUGGCAGUGUGACGAAGCCAUCAGAAAAACCAAUGGCACUUUAUCGUGCAUCAGCAGAUGCAUGACAAAUAGAUCCAAGGAGGUGAUAAUUCCCCUCUAUCGGGCGCUGGUCAGACCGCAGUUGGAGUACUGUGUGCAAUUCUGGGCGCCGCAUUUCAAGAGGGAUGUGGAUAACCUGGAGAGGGUCCAGAGAAUGGCCACUCGUAUGGUUAAGGGCUUGCAGGCCAAGCCUACGAGGAUGGACUAGAUAACCUGGACCUUUUUAGCCUCCGCAAGAGAAGGUUGAGAGGCGACCUUGUGGCUGCCUAUAAGUUCAUCAUGGGGGCACAGAAGGGAAUUGGUGAGGUUUUAUUCACGAAGGCGCCCCCAGGGGUUACAAGAAAUAAUGGCCACAAGCUAGCAGAGAGCAGAUUUAGACUGGACAUUAGGAAGAACUUCUUCACAGUUUGAGUGGCCAGGGUCUGGAACGAGCUCCCAAGGGAGGUGGUGCUCUCUCCUACCCUGGGGGUCUUCAAGAGGAGGUUAGAUGAGCAUCUAGCUGGGGUCAUCUAGACCCAGCACUCUUUCCUGCCUAUGCAGGGGGUCGGACUCGAUGAUCUAUUGAGGUCCCUUCCGACCCUAACAUCUAUGAAUCUAGGGUUGUGCAAAAUUUUGGCAGCCAUUUCAUUUUGGAGCUAUUUCAGCCCAUUUCAGUGCCUGAAACACUGAAUCUGAAAUGAAACGGAAGGCUCUGAACAUCUACAAAAUGAAACUAAGCCAUCUGAAAUGUUUUGGAUGUUUUGGAGGUGUGCUUGUGGGGAAGCAGAAACUCAGAAGAGGGAGGAGGAAGUAGGGAGGAGGGAGAAGGACUGCUCUGAUAUUUACAUCUCUACCUGGCCACUGUCUGUGAUCUGUCUCUGAGGUCCCUUCCAAUCCCAGUGCUCUGGGGGAGGGAAGGAGAAACAGCAUAUAAGGCUCUGUGUGAAGCCUUUUGUGAGCUGUCUGUCCAGAAGGAACAGUGUAUGAAAGGUACUGAUUGGCUGCAAUGGCUGGCUUUUUAGUCAGUCUCUUGCUAAUGUCUCUUUUUGGAAAGGAUUGGAUAUACACCUUUCCAAUAUAUUACAGAUAGAAGAUAUAGUAGGCAGCUAGAAGAAGAUAUAGUAAAGACAUAGAAGAUAUAGUAUAGUAAAAUAAGCAGAUAGAAGAAAAUACAGUAUAGUAAUAUAGUGUUAGGGGAGGUAUGAAGCUGAGGAAUGAAUGUCACCCCUAGACAUCAGAAGUCUAAAUGAGAAGCCUCCCACCUGGGAAACAUAUGAAUCAGUUUUCCAUCAAUCCAUACCAGGUGCAAGAGGGGCAGGUGAUUUGCCCAGAAACAGGUGGGUGGGCUAAGAUCUCAUUCACGCUGGAAAAGCAGGUGGCUUUCCUGGAUAAGGAAGCAACUAGUUGGUUUGUGUGUGCUUUUCCUGGAUGGACUGAAUAAUGAAGAAGCCAGAGGCUGG